rnacentral:rRNA from 1 species
GCUACAGGCUUAACACAUGCAAGUCGAGGGGUAGCAGGGUAGCAAUACCGCUGACGACCGGCGCACGGGUGAGUAACACGUAUCCAACCUUCCCAUAACUCGGGGAUAGCCUUUCGAAAGAAAGAUUAAUACCCGAUAGUACUUUUUUAGGGCAUCUUAGAAAAGUUAAAGAUUUAUUGGUUAUGGAUGGGGAUGCGUUCCAUUAGAUAGUUGGUGAGGUAACGGCUCACCAAGUCUUCGAUGGAUAGGGGUUCUGAGAGGAAGGUCCCCCACAUUGGUACUGAGACACGGACCAAACUCCUACGGGAGGCAGCAGUGAGGAAUAUUGGUCAAUGGGCGAGAGCCUGAACCAGCCAAGUAGCGUGAAGGAUGACGG